CUGCAGAUGAAUCACGUUUGGAAAUGAUCCUCCCUGUGCCGUUUUGCUUCCAUCAGCAAUCUCUUGGGAUGUGCCUGGAUCUCCCUGAGGCUUUGGCUGUCCAGAAGCUCUGUUCUUUCUGCAAGGCAACUGUUGGUGGGGCCGCAGGCUCCCCGCUGCUCGGCCUCCGGGGCUGCCUCCGCCACUGGCUUGCUGGCCACGCUGCCGACUGCAGCUUGCUGGCGGAGAGGCCACCUUUGUCUGCCAGCCCGUCCGCCCUCCUCCUCCUGCCAGAGCUAUUUCUGGAAGCAGCAGCUGAGGCCGAGGAUUGUUAAUUGUUCAUCAACCCCCUUACAGCCCGGUUAGAUCACAUGCGGAGAUUAGAGCACCUCGUCACACCCUUUCCUCCGCCUCCUUCUCGUGUAUCCCCCCCUCCCCCGACCCGCAGGGAUGGGGGGUAAUGUCCCUUCCGCAGGCAGACGGGGAGACACGAGGCGUGUGCGACUGUCCGGGAUGCCAGCCCCACCGAAGUGACGGCUCCCACGCUGUGUCCAGCCAUGGUGGUUGCUUCUCGGUGGAAGAAGGAGGGUCCCCACUACAAGCCCUGAAACACCCCCUGAGCUUUCUCGGAGGCUACCCUGGUGCCUGGAGCUGUGUCUGGGGGGUGGGUUAUCUCCUGCAGCCCCCGGCCACCAGCCUGGCCCUGACAGCAUGUUUCACAGCUAUGGCAAAGCAAGGUUUCAGUUCCCAAAGAGCUGCCACAGACCCCAUCACCCCUGGAGAUGCUGGUGGCAUAUUGUCCUCCCCCACCCGGUCUUGCAGCCCUACCUGACCCCGUUGUGGAUCUUCAUCUUCUAUUCUGGGCUGUGAGCUUUGCUGCCAGACCCCUGGAGCAGAUCUCUUGCCUGGCAGUGGGGCAGGCAUGGCUUUCUGCUCCAUGUCAGGGCAGAUAUUCCUUGAAGAACUCAAAGCUGCACUUCCCCCUCUAGCCAGCACGGUCUCUAACACGACAAGAUCUCAGAGCCCGCUGCUGAAACUGAAACAUUUCUGACCUGUAAAA